rnacentral:SRP_RNA from 1 species
GCCAGGCACUGUGGCGCAUGCCUGUAGUCCCAGCUACUCGGGAGGCUGAGGUGGGAGGAUCACUUCAGCCCAGGAGUUCUGGGCUGCAGUGCGCUAUGCCGAUCGGUUGUCUGCACUAAGUUCGGCAUCAAUAUGGUGACCUCCCAGGAGUAGGCGACCACCAGGUUGCCUAAAGGGGGGUGAACUGGCCCAGGUUGGAAACAGAGCAGGUCAAAACUCCCGUGCUGAUCAGUAGUGGGAUCACACCUGUGAAUAGCCACUACACUCCAGCCUAGGAAACAUAGUGAGACCCAUCUCU